rnacentral:rRNA from 1 species
AGGACGAACGCUGGCGGCGUGCUUAACACAUGCAAGUCGAGCGGUAAGGCCCUUCGGGGUACACGAGCGGCGAACGGGUGAGUAACACGUGGGUGAUCUGCCCUGCACUCUGGGAUAAGCCUGGGAAACUGGGUCUAAUACUGGAUAUGACCUGUCCUCGCAGUGGGGGGUGGGUGGAAAAGAUUUAUCGGUGCAGGAUGGGCCCGCGGCCUAUCAGCUU